rnacentral:rRNA from 1 species
UAGGGAAUCUUCCACAAUGGACGCAAGUCUGAUGGAGCAACGCCGCGUGAGUGAAGAAGGUUUUCGGAUCGUAAAGCUCUGUUGUAAGGGAAGAACGUGUGUGAGAGUGGAAAGUUCACACAGUGACGGUAACUUACCAGAAAGGGACGGCUAACUACGUGCCGG